CCUGUUAUGUGUGCUGAGAGUUGUUAGGAUAUUCCUAUUCCCUACACAGAACUACAUUUCCAAGAGUUCCGUGGGAAGUGUAGCUCUGUAUGGGGAAUAGGGGUUUCCUAAAAGCUCUCAGCACACUAACAAA